CCUACGGGAGGCUGCAGUGGGGAAUAUUGCACAAUGGGGGAAACCCUGAUGCAGCGACGCCGCGUGAGUGAAGAAGUAUUUCGGUAUGUAAAGCUCUAUCAGCAGGGAAGAUAAUGACGGUACCUGAGUAAGAAGCCCCGGCUAACUACGUGCCAGCAGCCGCGGUCAUACGUAGGGGGCAAGCGUUAUCCGGAUUUACUGGGUGUAAAGGGAGCGUAGACGGCAUGGCAAGUCUGAAGUGAAAGCCCGGGGCUCAACCGCGGGACUGCUUUGGAAACUGUUAAGCGGGAGUGCAGGAGAGGUAAGUGGAAUUCCUAGUGUAGCGGUGAAAUGCGUAGAGAUUAGGAGGAACACCAGUGGCGAAGGCGACUAUCUGGCACAUAACUGACGCUGAGGAGCGAAAGCGUGGGUAGCAAACAGGAUUAGAUACCCUGGUAGUC
rnacentral:rRNA from 1 species